rnacentral:rRNA from 1 species
AGUCACUGACAUUAGAUACCCGGUAGUCCCAGCCGUAAACAAUGUGCGUUAGGUAUGUCGGUAACCACGUGUUACUGAUGUGCCGAAGAGAAAUCGUGAAACGCACCACCUGGGAAGUGCGGUCGCAAGGCUGAAACUUAAAGGAAUUGGCGGGGAGCACCACAACAGGUGGAGCCUGCGGUUUAAUUGGAUUCAACGCCGGACAUCUCACCGGAUAAGACAGCUGAAUGAUUGUCAAUCUGAAGGUUUUACAUGACUAGCUG